AUGAACGCUAGCGACAGGCCUAACACAUGCAAGUCGAGGGCAGCACAAGGAGCAAUCUGAGGUGGCGACCGGCGCACGGGUGAGUAACACGUAUGCAACCUGCCUGUAAGCGGGGAAUAACCCGUUGAAAGACGGACUAAUACCGCAUAAUACUAAAUUACUGCAUGGUAAUUUAUUUUAAACAUUUAUGGCUUACAGAUGGGCAUGCGCAUGAUUAGCUAGUUGGAGAGGUAACGGCUCCCCAAGGCAACGAUCAUUAGGGGUUCUGAGAGGAAGGUCCCCCACACUGGUACUGAGACACGGACCAGACUCCUACGGGAGGCAGCAGUGAGGAAUAUUGGUCAAUGGACGAGAGUCUGAACCAGCCAAGUCGCGUGCAGGAAGAAUGUUCCCUAUGGAUUGUAAACUGUCUUUUGCGAGGGGAAAUAAAGUGCAUCACGUGUGAUUGUUUUGUAUGUACUCUGCGAAUAAGGAUCGGCUAACUCCGUGCCAGCCGCUGC
rnacentral:rRNA from 1 species